rnacentral:snRNA from 1 species
UUGGCGGGAUCCCUCGCGGG